ensembl:misc_RNA 7SK 7SK RNA
GGGCUUGAGCAAUCCUCUUGCCUCAGCCUCCCAAGUAAGCUGGGACUACAAGGUGUGCACCACUACGCCUGACAACAUUACCUGAUAGAGGAGCACUGUUCUUCAGUCAAGGGUAUAUGAGUAGCUGUGUUCCCUGCUAGAACCUCCAAACAAGCUCUCAGGGUCUAUGUUUUAAGUCAAGUUAUUCGCGUACCCUUCACCUAGAAAGCGUGUGGGAUGUGCCCAUUAGGUGUGU